CAAAAAAAAAUCCCUUUUGCCUUUCGACAAUUCAAUCAAAGCGUUUACUCUUUUAGGGUUGGAUGCCUGAGGCUGAGGUGAUUUUUUUUAUUCACAGUGUAAGAAUCGUACAGUGAUAGGAAUUCAUGGAAAGGAGCCUCAAUCCAGGAGGACAAAACAAAAAAAAACUUUCAGCACUUCCUCUGACUUCCACACAGCAGUAACUGGAACUUUGGCCCCCCUCCUCCCCCCACUCUGCCCCCACACCCCACCACUCCCCCCAUCCCUCCGAUCCCUCUCUGGCUGAGAACGGAGAAGCCGGUGAUCGAGAUUGUGGUUCAGCUGUUCCAGACAAGCGACUAUAACGCUCCUGAGGCACCAGUGGCCAUUUUGAGGAACACAUUGACCAAGAUGGGGAAGGUAUCAUGUGAGGAAAAGAAGGAUUAAUUGAUGUUGUCCUGUCAGAUGUUGAACAGCUUUCGGUUGUAGCUUUCGUUACUGUUUCCUGAGGCAACAGACUGACGGAAGUAAAGAUAUUGAGAAAAUAUGCAAAGACCAGCAUGAAGUGAAAGGUUCUACGACAGCCCUGUGACAACAAGAUAGAGCUCCGUCUACAGAAUUCACACUCAAAUGACAAAUGCUGGAAUUGGACAUCGGAAUCAAGCACUGCCGUGCGGGUGUUCCAGCGUUGCCAUGGUUACUGGCCUCCUGCUCACUCGCCUGAAGAGUCCAGAUGAAAAUUGGCUUGUCAGCCAGUGAGGGGCUCACUGCAGUGCCUCAGUUUGCAUCAGGCACCCUGGGCUCAAGAAAGGGACUGUUGCUAGUGGAGACUUCUGUUGAUCUAUAUUGAUCAGAUAACUUAUCCAUCUGACCUGCACUUCAUCCGUGAGACCAGUCUGCGACAUCAACAGGAGGUUUGUUUCUCUUAGAUGAUAAGAUUUAUGGGAGCAGAAUUAGGCCAGUUGGCCCAUCAAUGCUAUCCACCAUUCGAUCAUGGUUGAUAUGUUUCUCAACGCUAUUUUCUUGCCUUCUCCCCCAUAACUCCCUUACUAAUCAAGAGCCCAUCUGUCAAUGUCAUAAAUAUACUCCAUGACUUGGCCUCCACAGUCUUCUGUAGUAAUGAAUUCCACAGAUUCGCCACCCUCUGGCUGAAGAAAUUCCUCUUCAUCUAAGUUCUAAAGGGGUCUCACUUCACUCUGAGACUGUAUCCUUGGAACAUUAUCUUCUCCACAUGCACUCUAUCGAGUUGUCUCAGUGUUCUGUAACUUUCAGUCAGAUCCCUCCCAUCCUUCUGAACUCCAGAGUCCUCAGCUCCUCCUUGUAUAACAAGCCCUUCAUCCCUGCAAUCAUUCAUGUAAACCUCCUGUGAUCUCCCUCCGGUGCCAGUACAUCCUUCCUUCCAAUGAUAUUCCAAAUGCAGCUUUGUAUAACCUGAGCAAUAUAUCCCUACUGUUGUACUCCAGCCCUCUCAAACAUCCUUUGUACAUCUUUUCCAGUGACCUUGUUGUUCGCCAAUUGUCUCUCCUCCUAUCUAGAAUAUAUUGACUCAUAGUCAUACGGUAAUACAGCAUAGAAUGAGGCCAUUCAACUCAUACAUGCCUGUGUCAGCUCUUUGAAAGUACUUUCCAAUUAGCUCCACAUUCCCCAUAGCCAGGAAGUCUUUUCCUUCCUGUCCCUUUUGAAGUUACAACUGAACCCAAUUUUGCUAAUUUCAAGCAACUUUAGAUGAAACAUUUUAUUCUUCAAUACAUAUUUCACCAGAUAUUUCAAGUCAAAUACACAUUUUAUCAUGUUUUGUUGUUUUGUUACUUAUACAAAGAAGCCAUUUCUUCCCUUAAGUUGAAAUUGCAGUGUAUUUGAAUGGUUCGUCUCCCUGGGAGAGGGGUAGAAUUGGGUCAUGAUAAGAUUCUCUUCAUGAUUCUUAGCAAAGUACUUUCUAUGCUACAACAUGCACCCAUUGGGAUGACCACCUUUGUGGAUCUUUCUUAGAGGGUACUGGUGAGGGUGGACAAGAGGGGAGAAUGCUGAUCCUUUUGUUUUGAUCUCUACCUCUGCCUUGCUUUAGGAUGGCAGGGCUAUGGAGCUAUCCCUGUUUGUAUUGCUCAAGAAGUGGGGGAAAUCACCAACAUGUGACCAUAUCACUCCAUGAGCUAAUGUGUUGGAGCAUCUAUUUAUGGUGUCACCAUACUCAAAGUAUCCUCCCUGUCAGUGCUCCACUCAACAGUAGGCUCUUAGCAGUAACUGUUAGUGUGAGACUAUUUGACUGUGGGAGAUUCACAGCUGAACCCUCUUCUGUCUCAAUCCUGAAUUGCACUUCCCACUCAGUGCUCACUUGUUAGGAAAAGUCUUCAUAGAUACUGGCCAAUUCCACCCAUUCCUAACCCAAGGCUGUGAAUUAAUUACAACACCCACAUCAUGAAUGCACCCGAGAUUUGUUAAUGCAACACGGAAAUGGCUCUUAUUGAUGAAACUAUUUAUUGGUGUAGUUUAACAAUACAUAUUUCAAUAUUGGUGAGGUUUCUGUACAAUUCUUGAUAAUAAGAAUUAAGUGGGUUUAUUUUUUUUAACCAGGAUUGCUUUGAAUUGUCCAAACCUCCCUCCCCCACCCCCCCCAAUUCUCCAUUUAAGUGCAAUUUCAAUGUCACCUCAUUCCUAAUGGGGUUUAGUUAGCUCAGUUGGCUGGAUGGCAAUGCAGACUGACACCAAUAGCACAGGUUCAGUUCCCACAGCAGCUGAGGCCCUAUCUUCUCACGCUCUCCCCUCACCUGAGGUGUGGUGACCCUCAGGUUAAACUCACCACCAGUUGCCUCUAACGACACAGUAACUCUACGGGACUAUGGUAACUUUAUUCUUAAUACUGUGCUAAUGUAAAUACAAUUUUCAUACCAAU